ACCCCUAUAUAAUAGUACCUAAUCCCUAAACACCCCUAGACCCCAAAAAGAUUGGAUCCGCUAUUUUUUCAUAUGAGAAGAGACAAAGAGAAUUCUCCAGCAGCUGCUUCUUCAAUCGGCCAUUUUCUUUCAUUUGAAAAGAGAUCAGCCAAAAUUCUCAAGACCAAAAAAAAGUUGACCUAAAAGGAACGGAAAAGCUGGCAGCGCUGUUCUUGAUGAGAAUUAAAAGCGCUGCAAUACACAAAAACCCGACCCCUCUUGGCGUCGUCCUCUCCACGUCGACUGAAGCAGUGCCAUUGACGACCAAAAAACGAUGUCACUCUUUCACCUCCAUUAAUCUGCAUCCCGACAGUGAAAGCGAGGUUCGGCGAAGUUGUCAUGUUCCGUUCGAGGCUUUCGAUUGUUGGUCCGGUCAGCAGUAGCUCAGUCCAUUUUUGUGAAGAUAUUUAUAUUGGAGCACAUUCCAAAGGUUGUUAGAAAUCUCAAUAUAGACACUAAUGGGAUGCCAUCUGCAACGUUUCCCUUGGUGCUAAGAUGGUUAGAUCAACUGAGAAAACUGAACGAGAAUGACUCCUCCAGGCUGUCUGUGUCUCGACUGCGUCAAUUGUUUGAUCAGUUAACGCAUGAUGAAGUAUGUUAUCCAUCUCACCCAGUUAUUUGCCUUGGCUAAAUAGGUAGGCAUUUAAAUCAGUACGUUAGUUAUUAUUGUUGAUUCCAUGGAUCUGCAUGUAUCUUACUAUAGUCCUCUAAUUAUGAUUUUGAUAGGUCUAUUCAAUAAAAUAUUAGAUUUAGGUAGUUUUUGAAUUCAGGUAUUACUAUAUAUACGAAGAACAUUUGUAGUAGUUUGCAUCUGCAUUAAGAUAAUUGCUGGUAGAGGCUUGCACCUGCUA